CAGGGAUUGCUCUAGUAACGGCGAGUGAAGCAGCAAUAGCUCAAAUUUGAAAUCUGGCGUCUUCGACGUCCGAGUUGUAAUUUGUAGAGGAUGCUUCUGAGUAACCACCGACCUAAGUUCCUUGGAACAGGACGUCAUAGAGGGUGAGAAUCCCGUAUGCGGUCGGAAAGGUGCUCUAUACGUAGCUCCUUCGACGAGUCGAGUUGUUUGGGAAUGCAGCUCUAAAUGGGAGGUAAAUUUCUUCUAAAGCUAAAUAUUGGCCAGAGACCGAUAGCGCACAAGUAGAGUGAUCGAAAGAUGAAAAGCACUUUGGAAAGAGAGUUAAAAAGCACGUGAAAUUGUUAAAAGGGAAGGGAUUGCAACCAGACUUGCUCGCGGUGUUCCGCCGGUCUUCUGACCGGUCUACUCGCCGCGUUGCAGGCCAGCAUCGUCUGGUGCCGCUGGAUAAGACUUGAGGAAUGUAGCUCCCUCGGGAGUGUUAUAGCCUCUUGUGAUGCAGCGAGCGCCGG
rnacentral:rRNA from 1 species